rnacentral:rRNA from 1 species
CAAUAGCGUAUAUUUAAGUUGUUGCAGUUAAAAAGCUCGUAGUUGGAUUUCGGUUAAGAGCGACCGGUCCGCCGUUUGGUGUGCACUGGUUGGUUUUAACUUCCUGUAGAGGACGUGCUCUGGGUUUAACGACCUGGACUCGGAGUCUACGUGGUUACUUUGAAAAAAUUAGAGUGUUCAAAGCGGGCUUACGCUUGAAUAUUUCAGCAUGGAAUAACACUAUAGGACUCCUGUCCUAUUUCGUUGGUCUCGGGACGGGAGUAAUGAUUAAGAGGAACAGUUGGGGGCAUUCGUAUUUCAUUGUCAGAGGUGAAAUUCUUGGAUUUAUGAAAGACGAACUUCCGCGAAAGCAUUUGCCAAGGAUGUUUUCAUUAA